GGAGGAUCCAAGCGUUAUCCGGAUUUAUUGGGUUUAAAGGGUGCGUAGGCGGCUUAUUAAGUCAGGGGUGAAAGACGGUGGCUCAACCAUCGCAGUGCCUUUGAUACUGAUGAGCUUGAAUACACUUGAGGUAGGCGGAAUGUGACAAGUAGCGGUGAAAUGCAUAGAUAUGUCACAGAACACCGAUUGCGAAGGCAGCUUACUAAAGUGUGAUUGACGCUGAGGCACGAAAGCGUGGGGAUCAAACAGGAUUAGAUACCCUGGUAGUCCACGCCCUAAACGAUGAAUACUCGAUGUUAGCGAUAUACAGUUAGCGUCUAAGCGAAAGCCUUAAGUAUUCCACCUGGGGAGUACGCCCGCAAGGGUG
rnacentral:rRNA from 1 species